rnacentral:rRNA from 1 species
UACGAAGGGGGCUAGCGUUGCUCGGAAUCACUGGGCGUAAAGCGCACGUAGGCGGAUUGCUAAGUCAGGGGUGAAAUCCUGGAGCUCAACUCCAGAACUGCCUUUGAUACUGGCGAUCUCGAGUUCGGGAGAGGUGAGUGGAACUGCGAGUGUAGAGGUGAAAUUCGUAGAUAUUCGCAAGAACACCGGUGGCGAAGGCGGCAUCCUGGACCGACACUGACGCUGAGGAGCGAAAGCCAGGGGAGCAGACGGG